rnacentral:rRNA from 1 species
UACAGAGGGGGCAAGCGUUGUUCGGAAUUACUGGGCGUAAAGGGCGCGUAGGCGGCCUUCUAAGUCGAACGUGAAAUCCCCGGGCUCAACCCGGGAACUGCGUCCGAGACUGGAAGGCUCGAAUCCGGGAGAGGGAUGUGGAAUUCCAGGUGUAGCGGUGAAAUGCGUAGAUAAUCUGGAGGAACAUCGGUGGCGAAGGCGGCAUCCUGGACCGG